rnacentral:lncRNA from 1 species
UGUAGAAUUUGGUAAUUUGGAAAAUUUAAAAUAUGGAAAUUUGGAAAAUUAAAAAUUUGAAGUUCCCGCCAAACCCGAAGACGAGUAGUCGAACACUCCUACACUAGUCCUAACCCAAAGGAAGUCCCUAAGUCACCGUCUUUAAAAUCGCGUUCAAUUUAUAAACCGCGUCUAACCGCAGAGAACUACAGUCGUGUUUUUGGCAUCAGUCGCGUAUAAUAAAAUGUAGAAAAAUCUAUAUUUUAUUAAAUCGUGCAUCGACGCGCACUGUAAAUUCUUUUUGUUGGAUAAAAUCGACGAAAGAUAAAGCUUACAAUUUACGUAGGUGUUUUUCUUGUAAGUACGUUAUUCUCCAUUAAAUUCUAUAUCGAGUAUCAAAUCCGAGACACAUCGAAGAGAGAUUUUUAUCUACUGAACCAGCUAUUCAAUCAACUAUCCGUUUUUUCCCAUACGUUUAUAUAAACCGCUAUAAGCUCAGAAUAUAAUAUAUAUGUAUAUAUAAUAAAUAUAUGUAUAUUAGAUGAAUUUAUCGAGGGUUCUUCCCAAACGUGGAUACAAAGAGUUUUAAAAUGGAGACAAUUCGAGUAAUUUUCGCUUAUUCACUUUCUAUAUUAAUGCACGUGGUAUAUGAUUACAAGAAAGAUAGCCUGAAGUGAGCUGCUCCAGUGAGCCGAAAAAAAUCAGAAGAUACAAAGUAAGCGUUGACGGCACGACAAUGUCAGUUUUUCCCAAAAGAAAAUGCAACAAUCUCUUAUCGUAUGUACUUAUCAAUUAGUAUUAUUAAUAAUGCGUUAAAGUAAUCGAUUAUUAUAAGACGUUUAGACAAGUUUUAAGAGGUUAUAUAUAUGUAUAUAUAUCGAUAUUAGCUUAAACAAGAUUUUUGUACUUUCUUAGAAAAUUGCAUAGCACGAGUAACUAAUUCAGCGUUUUCUAACAGAAAUCAUAAAAGGUCACUGCGAUUGUGGCGCCAUUAACACCGACUUCAAGCACGAACGAUCGCUUCCGACCGUGGAAACUAUGAAAAUUCCUAGAUCCAUCGGGUAACGUUAAAAAAUAUACCGAUUCCAGCUAUCAAUUGCGAGCUAACCUGUCGCUAUUAACGCAUGCGAAAGACAUCAACGGAGAGAACGACGGUGUGCGAAGCGCGGAUAUUACAGUUACGAUUCGUUAGAUUAAGAUCAUCCGAACAUGGAAAGACUACGAUUGGAAAAUUUAUUGUUCACGGAUGACGGAUUUACGGAUAUUCGACUGGAUUCAAUAUGAUUGCAAGUUUAGUAAUUUCAAGAUUAGGAAAUUCAGAAAUUGGUGAUCGAACAUUCGGAUGAUGGGUAAUAUUACACCACAGGCACGAAACAGUCCAACUAACAGCAGUCGUCCCUAUUCGGUGAAAAUUUAAUAAGUAAUGUUACCGACAGUGAGUUAACAACGUUAUCGACAGAGGAAAUUUCGUGAGUUAGGAACGUUACCGACAGAGAAAAUUUCAUGAGUCAGCAAGGUUACCAACAGUGAAAAUUUCGUGAGUCAACAACAUUACCGACAGUGAAAAUUUUGUGAGUCAGCAAAGUUACCGACAGAGUAUAUAUAAAAUACAUAGAAUUAAAAAAUUAUUUAAAUACACUCAAAGGGUUAAAUAAACGUUCCCUUGAUUCAACGAGUUUUUUCCCCCACAGUUUCACUAAAUGGCAUCAUCUACUACUAACUGUUCGGACACUUCAGGAGUUGAUUUACAUACAUCAGAAAUUCUCCUGCGAACAAACGAAAUUCCACGAACACCUAAUCGUCGCUUGAAUAAUUGAGGUUUUCCUUUGCAAUUUUACUGGUGGGAUGUCUGGCCAACGUGUGAGCGGCGGUUACCACUUGGGGACCAUAUAUUCUCAAGUU